rnacentral:tRNA from 1 species
AGCAGCGCGGCUCAGUGGAAAGAGCCCGGCCUUGGGAGACGGGGGUCAUGGGUUCGAAUCCCGCCUCUGCUG